rnacentral:rRNA from 1 species
GAUGAACGCUAGCGACAGGCCUAACACAUGCAAGUCGAGGGGCAGCACAUGAGUAGCAAUACGAUGGUGGCGACCGGCGCACGGGUGAGUAACACGUAUGCAACCUGCCUGUAAGAGGGGGAUAACCCGGAGAAAUUCGGACUAAUACCGCAUAAUACCACGAGACUGCAUGGUUUUGUGGUUAAACAUUUAUGGCUUACAGAUGGGCAUGCGUAUGAUUAGAUAGUUGGUAGGGUAACGGCCUACCAAGUCUACGAUCAUUAGGGGUUCUGAGAGGAAGGUCCCCCACACUGGUACUGAGACACGGACCAGACUCCUACGGGAGGCAGCAGUGAGGAAUAUUGGUCAAUGGGCGAGAGCCUGAACCAGCCAAGUCGCGUGAAGGAAGAAGGUUCUAUGGAUUGUAAACUUCUUUUGCAGGGGAAUAAAGGACGAUACGUGUACUGUUUUGUAUGUACCUUGCGAAUAAGGAUCGGCUAACUCCGUG